GUGAGGAAUAUUGGUCAAUGGGCGCGAGCCUGAACCAGCCAUCCCGCGUGAAGGAAGACUGCCCUAUGGGUUGUAAACUUCUUUUCUGUUCCAAGAACGGCCAGUACGUGUACUGGUGUGACGGUAGAACAGGAAUAAGCAUCGGCUAACUCCGUGCCAGCAGCCGCGGUAAUACGGAGGAUGCGAGCGUUAUCCGGAUUCAUUGGGUUUAAAGGGUGCGUAGGCGGCUUCUUAAGUCAGUGGUGAAAUCCUGCGGCUCAACCGUAGAACUGCCAUUGAAACUGGGGAGCUUGAAUACAGAUGAGGUAGGCGGAAUGAGUAGUGUAGCGGUGAAAUGCAUAGAUAUUACUCAGAACACCGAUUGCGUAGGCAGCUUACUAAACUGAUAUUGACGCUGAGGCACGAAAGCGUGGGGAGCGAACAGGAUUAGAUACCCUGGUAGUCCACGCCGUAAACGAUGUUCACUCGCUGUUUGCGAUACACAGUAAGCGGCUAAGCGAAAGCAUUAAGUGAACCACCUGGGGAGUACGUCGGCAACGGUGAAACUUAAAGGAAUUGCCGG
rnacentral:rRNA from 1 species